AUUGAACGCUGGCGGCAUGCCUUACAUAUGCAAGUCGAACGGCAGCAUGGAAGAGCUUGCUCUUCUGAUGGCGAGUGGCGAGCGGGUGAGUAAAGCAUCGGAACGUACCGUGUAAUGGGGGAUAACGUAGCGAAAGUUACGCUAAUACCGCAUACGACCUGAGGGUGAAAGCAGGGGAUCGCAAGACCUUGCGUUAUACGAGCGGCCGAUGUCAGAUUAGCUAGUUGGUGAGGUAAAGGCUCACCAAGGCGACGAUCUGUAGCGGGUCUGAGAGGAUGAUCCGCCACACUGGGACUGAGACACGGCCCAGACUCCUACGGGAGGCAGCAGUGGGGAAUUUUGGACAAUGGGGGCAACCCUGAUUCAGCCAUGCCGCGUGAGUGAAGAAGGCCUUCGGGUUGUAAAGCUCUUUCGGCCGGGAAGAAAUCGCACAGGCUAAUACUCUGUGUGGAUGACGGUACCGGCAUAAGAAGCACCGGCUAACUACGUGCCAGCCGCCGCCGUAA
rnacentral:rRNA from 1 species